UUACAAUCUGUCGAGCUACUUCCAAAUAGACUUCAUAUUAUUAUAAUUGGAGACUUUCAAAACUUCCAUGGGCCCCUUCCUUUUGACGGAAAAAGCGUCUUGAUAACCAUGGUUAAGGGGCUUUCGACAUAAGAACUUGCUGCCCGUAAUGAUUUGAUCCUUGCUCUGCCAGAUAGGAUUCAAGCCAUACCAGAUGGAACUACAGCUCUCCCAAACAAUCUGGAGGCUGGACAGGUUUGGCUUCCCGCAUAGAAAUCAAGUUUGAUUCAGAUGGACAGUUCAACAGUGAAUACUUCCAGCAAACAAAAGAGUCCAACCAAUUCAGG